GACUCCUACCGGACUUCGCCAGCAGAAAGUCUUCAUCCGAGUCUCUACAGCAGAUGGUUCUCACCUAUAGACUCAGCGCCCAAGGUCUCCGACAAUAGUAGACUCGUCAACAACCUCAGAAAUAUCCGAACUUCUCCUAGAUCGACGAGACAGAGAGCCAUUCCGCUCCAUCAGACAUCCCAGUCGAGCUUCAGCUGACAGAUCCGAACUCUCUGGCAAGUCACGACAAGGGCCACUACCUUACUCCACUCUCUGCAACAGAUUCCACGCGGCUCCACCACUCUCUGGC
rnacentral:lncRNA from 1 species